GAGUAAUCGUUAGGAAUCUGCCUAUUAGUGGGGGACAACAUCUCGAAAGGGAUGCUAAUACCGCAUACGCCCUACGGGGGAAAGCAGGGGAUCUUCGGACCUUGCGCUAAUAGAUGAGCCUAAGUCGGAUUAGCUAGUUGGUGGGGUAAAGGCCUACCAAGGCGACGAUCUGUAGCGGGUCUGAGAGGAUGAUCCGCCACACUGGGACUGAGACACGGCCCAGACUCCUACGGGAGGCAGCAGUGGGGAAUAUUGGACAAUGGGGGGAACCCUGAUCCAGCCAUGCCGCGUGUGUGAAGAAGGCCUUUUGGUUGUAAAGCACUUUAAGCGAGGAGGAGGCUACUCUAGUUAAUACCUAGGGAUAGUGGACGUUACUCGCAGAAUAAGCACCGGCUAACUCUGUGCCAGCAGCCGCGGUAAUACAGAGGGUGCGAGCGUUAAUCGGAUUUACUGGGCGUAAAGCGUCCGUAGGCGGCUUUUUAAGUCGGAUGUGAAAUCCCUGAGCUUAACUUAGGAAUUGCAUUCGAUACUGGGAAGCUAGAGUAUGGGAGAGGAUGGUAGAAUUCCAGGUGUAGCGGUGAAAUGCGUAGAGAUCUGGAGGAAUACCGAUGGCGAAGGCAGCCAUCUGGCCUAAUACUGACGCUGAGGUACGAAAGCAUGGGGAGCAAACAGGAUUAGAUACCCUGGUAGUCCAUGCCGUAAACGAUGUCUCUACUAGCCGUUGGGGCCUUUGAGGCUUUAGUGGCGCAGCUAACGCGAUAAGUAGACCGCCUGGGGAGUACGGUCGCAAGACUAAAACUCAAAUGAAUUGACGGGGGCCCGCACAAGCGGUGGAGCAUGUGGUUUAAUUCGAUGCAACGCGAAGAACCUUACCUGGUCUUGACAUAGUAAGAACUUUCCAGAGAUGGAUUGGUGCCUUCGGGAACUUACAUACAGGUGCUGCAUGGCUGUCGUCAGCUCG
rnacentral:rRNA from 1 species